rnacentral:rRNA from 1 species
UACGAAGGGGGCGAGCGUUGUUCGGAAUUACUGGGCGUAAAGGGCGCGCAGGCGGCCUUAGAAGUCAGAUGUGAAAGCCCCGGGCUCAACCUGGGAAUGGCAUUUGAUACUCUGAGGCUGGAGUACGGGAGAGGAGAGUGGAAUUCCCAGUGUAGAAGGUGAAAUUCGUAGAUAUUGGGAAGAACACCGGUGGCGAAGGCGGCUCUCUGGACCGUAACUGACGCUGAGGCGCGGAAAAGCGUGGGGAGCAAACAGGG